rnacentral:lncRNA from 1 species
GCUUCCCGCGCGGGCUGUUCCCGGGCAGGCGCUCCCGGGAAAGGCUCUCUCCGGGCAGGAUGAGCCGGGGCAGCCGCUCGCAGGGAAGGCUGUCCCCGGGCAGGCUGUCCCCGGGGAGGGCCGUCAGCCCCGCCGCCAUGUCGGGGGUGGGGGGGGCGCGGGGCUCCCCCAUGGCGCUGACGCGCGUUGCCAUGGCGACGGCCGGGCGGCGUUGGGGGGGGUGGCGGGAUGACAACAAAUAUGGCGGAGAGGAGCAGGACGGCAGAGACGGGUUUCUGCUCAAGGCAUCUGUAUUACCUUCAGAGGACUUGCAUCUGGAGGCCUGA